AGAGUUUGAUCCUGGCUCAGGAUGAACGCUAGCUACAGGCUUAACACAUGCAAGUCGAGGGGAAACGACAUCGAAAGCUUGCUUUUGAUGGGCGUCGACCGGCGCACGGGUGAGUAACGCGUAUCCAACCUGCCCACCACUUGGGGAUAACCUUGCGAAAGUAAGACUAAUACCCAAUGACGUCUCUAGAAGACAUCUGAAAGAGAUUAAAGAUUUAUCGGUGAUGGAUGGGGAUGCGUCUGAUUAGCUUGUUGGCGGGGUAACGGCCACCAAGGCGACGGAUCAGUAGGGGUUCUGGAGAGGAGGGUCCCCCACACUUGGAACUGAGACACGGUCCAAACUCCUACGGGAGACA
rnacentral:rRNA from 1 species